rnacentral:rRNA from 1 species
GUUAGCGGCGGACGGGUGAGUAACACGUAGGUAACCUACCUAUAAGACUGGGAUAACUUCGGGAAACCGGAGCUAAUACCGGAUAAUAUUUCGAACCGCAUGGUUCGAUAGUGAAAGAUGGCUUUGCUAUCACUUAUAGAUGGACCUGCGCCGUAUUAGCUAGUUGGUAAGGUAACGGCUUACCAAGGCAACGAUACGUAGCCGACCUGAGAGGGUGAUCGGCCACACUGGAACUGAGACACGGUCCAG